rnacentral:rRNA from 1 species
AGAGGAGCUCGCGUCUGAUUAGCUAGUUGGUGAGGUAAGAGCUCACCAAGGCAGCGAUCAGUAGCUGGUCUGAGAGGACGAUCAGCCACACUGGGACUGAGACACGGCCCAGACUCCUACGGGAGGCAGCAGUGGGGAAUUUUCCGCAAUGGGCGAAAGCCUGACGGAGCAAGACCGCGUGAGGGAGGAAGGCUCUUGGGUUGUAAACCUCUUUUCUCAGGGAAGAAGCUCUGACGGUACCUGAGGAAUCAGCCUCGGCUAACUCCGUGCCAGCAGCCGCGGUAAUACGGAGGAGGCAAGCGUUAUCCGGAAUUAUUGGGCGUAAAGCGUCCGCAGGUGGCGAUUCAAGUCUGCUGUCAAAGCACGGGGCUUAACUCCGUUAAGGCAGUGGAAACUGAAUAGCUAGAGUGCGGUAGGGGUAGAGGGAAUCCCAGUGUAGCGGUGCAAAUGCGUAGAGAUUGGGAAGAACACCGGUUGGCGAAAAGCGCUCUACUAGGCCGCAACUGACACUCAGGGACGACAAGCUAGGGGAGCGAAUGGGAUUAGAUACCCCAGUAGUCCUAGCUGUAAACGAUGGGUACUAGGCGUAGCUUGUAUCGACCCGAGCUGUCCCGAACCUAACGCGUGAAGGUACCCCGCCUGGGGAGUACGCACGCAAGUGUGAAACUCAAAGGAAUUGACGGGGCCCCGCACAAGCGGUGGAGUAUAUGGUCUAAUUCGAUGCACCGCGAAGAACCUUGCCAGGGCUUGACAUCCGGCGAAUUCUCUGGAAACAGAGAAGUGCUUACGGGAGCACCGUGA